UUUCUGGGUCGGUUUGGAAGACUAGUGAUUUUGUUGUUUUUAUAAAAGUUUGUCACAAACAGCAAAUCGUAGUCUCCACUCUGCCCCAGGAG
rfam:Xenopus tropicalis strain Nigerian Chr08_contig_3097, whole genome shotgun sequence.